rnacentral:rRNA from 1 species
GACGAACGCUGGCGGUGUGCUUAACACAUGCAAGUGGAGCGACGAACCGGGGCUUGCCCCGGGCGAGAGCCGCGAACGGGUGAGUAACACGUGGGUUACCUGCCCUGAUGACCGGGACAACCCGUCGAAAGACGGGCUAAUACCGGAUGUGCCCGCAAGGGGAAAGGAGGCGUAAGCUUCCGCAUCGGGAUGGGCCCGCGGAGCAUUAGCUUGUUGGUGAGGUAAUAGCUCACCAAGGCUCGAUGCUUAGCUGGUCUGAGAGGACGAUCAGCCACACUGGGACUGAGACACGGCCCAGACUCCUACGGGAGGCAGCAGUGGGGAAGUCUUGCGCAAUGCACGAAAGUGUGACGCAGCAACGCCGCGUGCGGGAAGACGGCC